rnacentral:lncRNA from 1 species
AAAUACCACAUUUUUUAUUAUAUUUUUUUAAAUAAUUGUAUUCUACAUAAAAUGAUUCUAGGAAAUCAUCCAAAAUUUAAAUCAUCUCAAUGUAAGUCAAAAAUUAUAAUUAAAAGAUAAACUUUGGCAAUGGUAACACUUCUUUAAUCCAAGCUUCGGUUGAUAACAUAAUACAGUUUUUGCAAUUCGAUGACAUCCUUUGAUUUUAUUCUAUACACUGCAUUUGAGAGAUAUAAUAACUGCUCCAUAUUCUCAUUUAUUAGUGACAUUUGUGGGUAGAAGAAUUGCAUGCGGUGGAAAAUGUUCAAAUACACAAAGAUAGGCAGUACAAAUUGGUUAUCAAUGACAGGCAGGUGGAAGCUUUAAAGAAACCCUGGAGAUACUUACUAAGACGUUAAUGCUUUGAGACCUAACCCCUCUCCCUUCCCCUAUUUUUGAUAAUUUAGAGAUGUAUAUAUGAUCUGAACACUUUGUCUAUCAAAUGAAGGGGCAACUGUGAUGUCUUAACAUAGACUUUUCAAUAAGUUAGUGCAUGUGUUUAUAAAUAAUGUUUGUGUGUACCCCCUCCUUUGAUCUUGGAGCAUUCUAUGUGUAUAUGUAUAUAUUUAUUAUAGAAUCAUUAAAUACUUGUAGCAGUUUUUAUAUAUGUUGUUUUUCAAAUUUUUGUAAUGCGACUAUGUUAAUGAAUUUUACUGUUCUUUUCCGUUGUCUGUUCUCAGUUUCAAAAAGAAUUUUGAAUGUUUUUGUAAGCUGAAGAUGGCUUUUUAGCUGAAAG